UGUUUCGGCUAGGGGGUCAUCCCGACUUACCAAACCGAUGCAAACUCCGAAUACCAGCAAGUGUCAGCACGGGAGACACACGGCGGGUGCUAACGUCCGUCGUGAAAAGGGAAACAACCCAGACCGUCAGCUAAGGUCCCAAAGUUAUGGUUAAGUGGGAAACGAUGUGGGAAGGCUUAGACAGCUAGGAGGUUGGCUUAGAAGCAGCCACCCUUUAAAGAAAGCGUAAUAGCUCACUAGUCGAGUCGGCCUGCGCGGAAGAUGUAACGGGGCUCAAACCAUACACCGAAGCUACGGGUUCAUCUUAGGAUGAGCGGUAGAGGAGCGUUCUGUAAGCCUGUGAAGGUGAGUUGAGAAGCUUGCUGGAGGUAUCAGAAGUGCGAAUGCUGACAUGAGUAACGACAAUGCGAGUGAAAAACUCGCACGCCGAAAGACCAAGGUUUCCUGCGCAACGUUAAUCGACGCAGGGUGAGUCGGCCCCUAAGGCGAGGCAGAAAUGCGUAGUCGAUGGGAAACGGGUUAAUAUUCCCGUACUUCUAAUUACUGCGAUGGAGGGACGGAGAAGGCUAGGCCAGCACGGCGUUGGUUGUCCGUGUUUAAGGUGGUAGGCUGAUUUCUUAGGUAAAUCCGGGAGAUCAAGGCCGAGAGCUGAUGACGAGCGUUCUUUUAGAAUGCGAAGUGGUUGAUGCCAUGCUUCCAGGAAAAGCUUCUAAGCUUCAGGUAACUAGGAACCGUACCCCAAACCGACACAGGUGGUUAGGUAGAGAAUACCAAGGCGCUUGAGAGAACUCGGGUGAAGGAACUAGGCAAAAUGGCACCGUAACUUCGGGAGAAGGUGCGCCGGUGAGUGUGAAGGGUUUACCCCGUAAGCACAUGCCGGUCGAAGAUACCAGGCCGCUGCGACUGUUUAUUAAAAACACAGCACUCUGCAAACACGAAAGUGGACGUAUAGGGUGUGACGCCUGCCCGGUGCCGGAAGGUUAAUUGAUGGGGUUAGCUAACGCGAAGCUCUUGAUCGAAGCCCCGGUAAACGGCGGCCGUAACUAUAACGGUCCUAAGGUAGCGAAAUUCCUUGUCGGGUAAGUUCCGACCUGCACGAAUGGCGUAACGAUGGCGGCGCUGUCUCCACCCGAGACUCAGUGAAAUUGAAAUCGCUGUGAAGAUGCAG
rnacentral:rRNA from 1 species